rnacentral:lncRNA from 1 species
AACGUACCAAAUAUGUCUUACACUAAUUUGUUUAUUACCAUAUAAAUUCACUACUAUGUAAUAGCUAACAGGCUGUAAAACCUUAAUUGCAGUAAAUUACUAGCAUUGAGACUUGAAAAAAAUUUAUGCAUCUGCCGACAGAGAAUUCAAAGUUUCAAACCGUCCUAAAUAUUGUAUCAAACGUCAAAUACUAUGAGAAAUUGACAUGACUUUGUGCCAAACCUUGGAGUGUACUCACAUCAUGUCCUAACUACUUAUAUCCUCUGCAACAAACCAUUCCCUUUGACAUUUUCUCAAUAACCUUAGUCGUAUACACAAAAUAUUCCAUUUUUUAUACCAUAUAUUCUCUAUCUCGAUCUGAUAGUCACAAGAUUUUCUCUUCGUUUCCUCAGCCAAAAGACAGACAUCAAUUUUCGCGGUCGAUGGGUGUAAAGAACAUUUUCGCUCUUGUAACGGCGUCCCUGCUGUUCACAGUCGGCGUCGCCUGCUCAAAU